rnacentral:rRNA from 1 species
GUGGAGCCGCAAGGUGAAAUACCGCUCUGUUCUCGUUUGACGUCUAACCUCGACAAGUCAUCCUUGUCAGGGACAGUGCCUGGCGGGUAGUUCAACUGGGGCGGUUGCCUCCCAAAGAGUAACGGAGGCGCUCAAAGGUCCGCUCAGCCCGGUUGGCAAUCGGGUGUCGAGUGUAAUCGCACAAGCGGGCUUGACUGCGAGGACGACGGUCCGAGCAGGGACGAAAGUCGGAGAUAGUGAUCCGGUGCCGGCGCACGGGCGCGGCAUCGCUCAACGGAUAAAAGGUACCCCGGGGAUAACAGGCUGAUCAUUCCCAAGAGUCCAUAUCGACGGGAUGGUUUGGCACCUCGAUGUCGGCUCGUCGCAUCCUGGGGCUGGAGCAGGUCCCAAGGGUUCGGCUGUUCGCCGAUUAAAGCGGCACGCGAGCUGGGUUCAGAACGUCGUGAGACAGUUUGGUCUCUAUCCUCUGCGCUCGUUGGAAUCCUGAGGAGGCCUGCCCAUAGUACGAGAGGACCUGGGUGGACGAACCUCUGGUAUGCCGGUUGUCGCGCCAGCGGCACGGCCGGUUGGCUACGUUCGGGAGGGAUAACCGCUGAAAGCAUCUAAGCGGGAAGCCUGCUCCAAGAUUAGGAUUCCGUACGGUCUUGAACCGUUGUAGCCCGCAUGUUGAACACGUGUUUGAUAGGCCGGAGGUGGAAGUCCCGUGAGGGGUGGAGCCGACCGGUACUAACGGGCGACGGCGACA